AUUGAACGCUGGCGGCAUGCCUUACACGUGCAAGUCGAACGGCAGCACGGGAGCAAUCCUGGUGGCGAGUGGCGAACGGGUGAGUAAUAUAUCGGAACGUGCCCAGUCGUGGGGGAUAACGUAGCGAAAGCUACGCUAAUACCGCAUACUAUCUAUGGAUGAAAGCGGGGGAUCGCAAGACCUCGCGCGAUUGGAGCGGCCGAUAUCAGAUUAGGUAGUUGGUGAGGUAAAGGCUCACCAAGCCGACGAUCUGUAGCUGGUCUGAGAGGACGACCAGCCACACUGGGACUGAGACACGGCCCAGACUCCUACGGGAGGUAGCAGUGGGGAAUUUUGGACAAUGGGCGCAAGCCUGAUCCAGCAAUGCCGCGUGCAGGAUGAAGGCCUUCGGGUUGUAAACUGCUUUUGUACGGAACGAAACGGUGAGCUCUAAUACAGUUUGCUAAUGACGGUACUGUAAGAAUAAGGAUCGGCUAACUCCGUG
rnacentral:rRNA from 1 species